rnacentral:rRNA from 1 species
AGAGUUUGAUCCUGGCUCAGGAUGAACGCUAGCGGCAGGCUUAAUACAUGCAAGUCGAGGGGCAGCAGGAAUAGCAAUAUUUGCUGGCGACCGGCAAACGGGUGCGGAACACGUACACAACCAUCCUUUAAGCGGGGGAUAGCCUAAGGAAACUUGGAUUAAUACCCCAUAGAAUAGAGACCCGGCAUCGGGUAGUUAUU